rnacentral:rRNA from 1 species
CACGUAGGGUGCGAGCGUUGUCCGGAAUUAUUGGGCGUAAAGAGCUCGUAGGCGGUUUGUCGCGUCGAAUGUGAAAACCCGGGGCUCAACCCCGGGCCUGCAUUCGAUACGGGCAGACUAGAGUUCGGUAGGGGAGUCUGGAAUUCCUGGUGUAGCGGUGAAAUGCGCAGAUAUCGGGAAGAACAUCAGUGGCGAAGGCGGUCUGCUGGGCCGUUGCUGACGCUGAGGCGCGACAGCGUGGGGAGCAAACAGG